rnacentral:rRNA from 1 species
AAAUUGAAGAGUUUGAUCAUGGCUCAGAUUGAACGCUGGCGGCAGGCCUAACACAUGCAAGUCGAGCGGUAGCACAGAGAGCUUGCUCUCGGGUGACGAGCGGCGGACGGGUGAGUAAUGUCUGGGAAACUGCCUGAUGGAGGGGGAUAACUACUGGAAACGGUAGCUAAUACCGCAUAAUGUCGCAAGACCAAAGUGGGGGACCUUCGGGCCUCAUGCCAUCAGAUGUGCCCAGAUGGGAUUAGCUAGUAGGUGGGGUAACGGCUCACCUAGGCGACGAUCCCUAGCUGGUCUGAGAGGAUGACCAGCCACACUGGAACUGAGACACGGUCCAGACUCCUACGGGAGGCAGCAGUGGGGAAUAUUGCACAAUGGGCGCAAGCCUGAUGCAGCCAUGCCGCGUGUGUGAAGAAGGCCUUCGGGUUGUAAAGCACUUUCAGCGGGGAGGAAGGCGAUAAGGUUAAUAACCUUGUCGAUUGACGUUACCCGCAGAAGAAGCACCGGCUAACUCCGUGCCAGCAGCCGCGGUAAUACGGAGGGUGCAAGCGUUAAUCGGAAUUACUGGGCGUAAAGCGCACGCAGGCGGUCUGUCAAGUCGGAUGUGAAAUCCCCGGGCUCAACCUGGGAACUGCAUUCGAAACUGGCAGGCUAGAGUCUUGUAGAGGGGGGUAGAAUUCCAGGUGUAGCGGUGAAAUGCGUAGAGAUCUGGAGGAAUACCGGUGGCGAAGGCGGCCCCCUGGACAAAGACUGACGCUCAGGUGCGAAAGCGUGGGGAGCAAACAGGAUUAGAUACCCUGGUAGUCCACGCUGUAAACGAUGUCGAUUUGGAGGUUGUGCCCUUGAGGCGUGGCUUCCGGAGCUAACGCGUUAAAUCGACCGCCUGGGGAGUACGGCCGCAAGGUUAAAACUCAAAUGAAUUGACGGGGGCCCGCACAAGCGGUGGAGCAUGUGGUUUAAUUCGAUGCAACGCGAAGAACCUUACCUGGUCUUGACAUCCACAGAACUUAGCAGAGAUGCUUUGGUGCCUUCGGGAACUGUGAGACAGGUGCUGCAUGGCUGUCGUCAGCUCGUGUUGUGAAAUGUUGGGUUAAGUCCCGCAACGAGCGCAACCCUUAUCCUUUGUUGCCAGCGGUUAGGCCGGGAACUCAAAGGAGACUGCCAGUGAUAAACUGGAGGAAGGUGGGGAUGACGUCAAGUCAUCAUGGCCCUUACGACCAGGGCUACACACGUGCUACAAUGGCAUAUACAAAGAGAAGCGACCUCGCGAGAGCAAGCGGACCUCAUAAAGUAUGUCGUAGUCCGGAUUGGAGUCUGCAACUCGACUCCAUGAAGUCGGAAUCGCUAGUAAUCGUAGAUCAGAAUGCUACGGUGAAUACGUUCCCGGGCCUUGUACACACCGCCCGUCACACCAUGGGAGUGGGUUGCAAAAGAAGUAGGUAGCUUAACCUUCGGGAGGGCGCUUACCACUUUGUGAUUCAUGACUGGGGUGAAGUCGUAACAAGGUAACCGUAGGGGAACCUGCGGUUGGAUCACCUCCUUACCUUAAAGAA